CGCGUAGGCGGUCGGGUAAGUCGAGUGUGAAAUUCCGGGGCUCAACCCCGCGAACUGCAUUCGAUACUGCUCGACUAGAGAGAGGUAGGGGCGAGUGGAAUUCCCGGUGUAGCGGUGGAAUGCGUAGAUAUCGGGAAGAACACCGGUGGCGAAGGCGGCUCGCUGGGCCUUUUCUGACGCUGAAGCGCGAAAGCGUGGGGAGCAAACAGGAUUAGAUACCCUGGUAGUCC
rnacentral:rRNA from 1 species